GCCUUUGGUCUGGCUCUCCCCAUCGCUGGGUUCAGUGCCUGACUGAAUGGAAAACCCGUCGUCUUGCAGCCACUAACCUGUGAGCGCCGGGUACCUGGAGACCAGGCCCCUCUGCUGGGGGCCCCCAGGAGCGGUGCCCCAUCAUUUUGCAGCCCACUGACUCCCAGCCUGGUAAGUUACUGCACACUUUCAGCAAUUAUCUGCGAAGCUUUCCUCAACUGCCUCAUUAGCAUGCGCAGGGCACCCUCGCUGGGCCCGUUGGAAGGGAAGUGCCUGCCGGCUCUGGGGAGCUGCGGCUCUCGGGCCCUGCCAAACAGACGCAGCCUUCCUAAGGAGCAGCGCUGCGCUGGCUCUGCUGGGGUGGAAGGAGCUUCUCCUUCGCUGUCCUCCCUCUCCCUUCCCAGCCCAUCUUAUUCCGAGCCUCUCCUCUCUCUAUCUUACUCCUCCUAACCUCUCUCACCUCUCACCUUCCCCCUUUCCACCCCCUGCCCUCAGAUUUAUUUAUUUAUUUAUUUAUGACAGAAUCUCGCUCCGUCGCCCAGGCUGGAGUGCAGUGGCGCAAUCUCGGCUCGCUGCAACCUCUGCCUUCCGGGUUCAAGCGAUUCUCCUGUCUCAGCCUCCCGAAUAGCUGGGAUUAGAGGCGCCCACCGCCACACCCGUCUAAUUUUUUUGUAUUUUUAGUAGAGAUGGGGUUUCACCAUGUUGGCCAGGCUGGUUUCGAACUCCUGACCUCCGGUGAUCUCCCCGCCUUGGCCUCCGAAAGAGCUGGGAUUACAGGCAUCAACCCCUGAGUCCAGCUGGAUUUUCUUUUUUAUUCACAUACCUUUCUGUCUCCCACUGAUUUUUCUUAGGAGUUCCUCUCAUCCUCUAACCUCGCUUUUUAAAAUUAUUUUUCUGGAUACCUAGAUUUUUGUCCUUUCUGGCCAGAGCCUGAAAGAACAGCUUCUAAGGACUUGGUGAUUGGAAAUGUACCUUCUAAAAAAAAUUCUUUUUUCACUAAGACAGUGUAGAAUGCCCAGUUCCCGCUGUGUGUACGUGCGUGCACAUAUGUGUUAAAGGAGAUGGAUACAUUGCUUGGGGCCAUCAGAACUGUUUCCUGGGAGGUGGUUUCUUGGCUCCACACCCCAGCUCAGCAAGGGAAUGAUCAAGUGAUAGGAGGCACAGUUACAGCAGUCAGGAGACAAGGCACUCGGACCCCAAACGUCUGACUCUCUGUGGGAGAAACCAGGGCUCAAAGCAGGAGCAAAAAAUCUAGUGCUGGAUGCGCUCGGGCAUCGAGAGGCAUCUCGUAGAGCUGGCUCCGAGUUUGAGGCCACACCUUUGCAGAAUGAGGCAGCAUGUGAGCGAUUUAGUUCAAUGUAAUUGCAGUGGAGAUGGACAGGGAGAGGAC
rnacentral:lncRNA from 10 species